CUCCAGCAGACCCUCCCUCCCAGACCCUCCUACUUCCUGGACAGCAUGGAUGCUGUCCAGGAAGUAGGAGGGUCUGGGAGGGAGGGUCUGCUGGAG